rnacentral:rRNA from 1 species
UACGGAGGAUGCGAGCGUUAUCCGGAUUUAUUGGGUUUAAAGGGUGCGUAGGCGGCCGAGUAAGUCAGCCGUGAAAUUUUGCAGCUUAACUGUAACAGUGCCGUUGAUACUGCAUGGCUAGGAUUUGGUUGCUGUGGGUGGAAUGUGUGGUGUAGCGGUGAAAUGCUUAGAUAUCACACAGAAUAUCAAUUGCGAAGGCAGCUCACAAAGCCAAGAUUGACGCUGAGGCACGAAAGUGUGGGGAUCAAA